AACGAACGCUGGCGGCAGGCUUAACACAUGCAAGUCGAACGCCCCGCAAGGGGAGUGGCAGACGGGUGAGUAACGCGUGGGAAUCUACCCAGAUCUACGGAACAACAGAGGGAAACUUCUGCUAAUACCGUAUACGCCCUACGGGGGAAAGAUUUAUCGGAUUUGGAUGAGCCCGCGUAAGAUUAGCUAGUUGGUGAGGUAAUGGCUCACCAAGGCGACGAUCUUUAGCUGGUCUGAGAGGAUGAUCAGCCACACUGGGACUGAGACACGGCCCAGACUCCUACGGGAGGCAGCAGUGGGGAAUAUUGGACAAUGGGCGAAAGCCUGAUCCAGCCAUGCCGCGUGAGUGAUGAAGGCCUUAGGGUUGUAAAGCUCUUUCAGUAGGGAAGAUAAUGACGGUACCUACAGAAGAAGCCCAGGCUAACUUCGUGCCAGCCGCCGCGGUAAAAC
rnacentral:rRNA from 1 species